GGAGCAUUGUGUAAGCCUGUGAAGGUGUGUUGUAAAGCAUGCUGGAGGUAUCACAAGAGCGAAUGCUGACGUGAGUAACGACAAUGCGAGUGAAAAGCUCGCACGCCGGAAGACCAAGGGUUCCAGUCCAACGUUAAUCGGGGCUGGGUGAGUCGACCCCUAAGGCGAGGCCGAAAGGCGUAGUCGAUGGGAAAUCGGUUAAUAUUCCGAUACUUGUUUAUGAUGCGAUGGAGGGACGGAGAAGGUUAGGCAGGCCCGGCGUUGGUUGUCCGGGU
rnacentral:rRNA from 1 species